rnacentral:RNase_P_RNA from 14 species
UCAGGUAAACUCUAUGCGGUGCAAUGUCAAGUAUACCCGCAGUUAAGUGUUACUCGCGCGUUGCGGGAGGGUAGGCAGAUAGAGGUGCUUAGUAAUAAUCAUCCCAGAUAAAUGAUAAGGAUUACACUCGUGUAAUACAGAAUCCGGCUUAUAGACCUG